rnacentral:rRNA from 1 species
AACGAACGCUGGCGGCGCGCCUAAUACAUGCAAGUCGAGCGAGAAGACGUAGCAAUACGUUUGUAAAGCGGCGAACGGGUGAGGAAUACAUGGGUAACCUACCCUCGAGUGGGGAAUAACUAGCCGAAAGGUUAGCUAAUACCGCAUACGAUUCCCGGACUGCGGUUCGGGAAGGAAAGCGAUACCGUGGGUAUCGCGCUCUUGGAUGGGCUCAUGUCCUAUCAGCUUGUUGGUGAGGUAAUGGCUCACCAAGGCUUCGACGGGUAGCUGGUCUGAGAGGACGAUCAGCCACACUGGCACUGCGACACGGGCCAGACUCCUACGGGAGGCAGCAGUAAGGAAUAUUGCGCAAUGGACGAAAGUCUGACGCAGCGACGCCGCGUGGGGGAUGAAGGUCUUCGGAUUGUAAACCCCUUUCGGCAGGGAAGAUGGAACGGGUAACCGUUCGGACGGUACCUGUAGAAGCAGCCACGGCUAACUUCGUGCCAGCCGCCGCAGUAA